CUACGGGGUGCACCAGUGAGGAAUAUUGCACAAUGGGGGAAACCCUGAUGCAGCAACGCCGCGUGGAGGAUGACGCAUUUCAGUGUGUAAACUCCUUUUAUGAGUCAAGAAAAUGACGGUAGCAUAUGAAUAAGCACCGGCUAACUCCGUGCCAGCAGCCGCGGUAAUACGGAGGGUGCAAGCGUUACUCGGAAUCACUGGGCGUAAAGGACGCGUAGGCGGGUUGGAAAGUCAGGUGUGAAAUCCUACAGCUUAACUGUAGAACUGCACUUGAAACUUCUAAUCUAGAGUAUGGGAGGGGGAGAUGGAAUUAGUGGUGUAGGGGUAAAAUCCGUAGAUAUCACUAGGAAUACCUAAAGCGAAGGCGAUCUCCUGGAACAUUACUGACGCUAAGGCGUGAAAGCGUGGGGAGCAAACAGGAUUAGAUACCCCGGUAGUC
rnacentral:rRNA from 1 species